rnacentral:rRNA from 1 species
UGGGGAAUAUUGCACAAUGGGGGAAACCCUGAUGCAGCAACGCCGCGUGAAGGAAGAAGGUUUUCGGAUCGUAAACUUCUAUCGAUGGGGACGAAUAAUGACGGUACCCAAGUAAGAAGCCCCGGCUAACUACGUGCCAGCAGCCGCGGUAAUACGUAGGGGGCAAGCGUUAUCCGGAAUUACUGGGUGUAAAGGGUGAGUAGGCGGUUGGAUAAGUCAUAUGUGAAACCUUAAGGCUCAACCUUAAACUUGCAUAAGAAACUGUCCGACUAGAGUACAGGAGAGGUAAGUGGAAUUCUUAGUGUAGCGGUGAAAUGCGUAGAUAUUAAGAAGAACACCAGUGGCGAAGGCGGCUUACUGGACUGAAACUGACGCUGAGUCACGAAAGCGUGGGGAGCAAACA